UCGUAACCGUUCCUCUACGUUGCCAUUGUGCUCAACAGUUUCUCUCUUAGCAAUCCAGCCCUCUAGUGUCUCGAACGGGUGCGAGUACAAGGUCUCCACCGCGUCCGGCGGGGUUUCUCUAGUCGCCACUGCCUGUGCCGCCUCAUCGGCUUUCUGAUUUCCUACGCACGUAUCUGCUUGGUGUGAACGGACGUGAUAGAAGUAUGUCUUCAGACCUGCCAACCCACGUUGGGCCAGUAUGUCAGUGAUGGCCCCGAACAUUUCGCGAUGUUUGCUGACAUGUAGCGACUCGGGCUCCAGAAUGGCACGGCGAAGGAUAAGCAGGCUGACAAGGCUGUCGGUGUAAAUCCGCAGGUGGGGCAAGUCAAGGUUGAGGCUAAGUGCCAUGCGUAUAGCCGACGACUCGCAUCUGAGAAUAGUGCUAAGGGGAGUGUCAAAAGCGAUAUCUUCGUCUAUAUGCGUCGUGCGGUUUUCAGUUUCGUCCCAGAUCGCUGCUCCCAGGCCUGUGUAGUCGCUCGAGUGUGGGACCUUGCUCCCGUCGGUGAAGACGGCGGAGCCACACGUGUGUGCGAGAGGAAUGGUUAUGGGGUAGAGGGCUGCGAGCUCCGUGGGGGUUGGGGGUGUGGGGGCGGCCGGGGGGGGCUGUGGUAGGGGUGUCGGGGUGGUGUGGGUGCGGAGGCGACGCUCCAGCUUCCGAGGGGUUUUGGGCCACGGUUUAGGUGCGUCUAGGUUCGGCAAGGGCUUGCGGGCGGCAGGCUGUGGAGUGUGUCCAAGGGCGCCAGACAGCGCCGCCGCUAGUCCAUUCCCCAGGGCCGUGUUGAGAAUUAACCGGCCGGGCUCGUUUGCCACACACAGGAGAUGGAGUCCGCGCCGGUGGGCGGGGAGCUCCAGCGGCUGACCUAGGCCGGAGGCCAUGGCGGCCCACGUGUGUGCUGGUCGGAUAUGUCCCAGGGCGUGGACCAGUGGGUGCUGGAGCCAGGCCGUGUAACCACUGGUUUCGCCAUACGGCACGACCACGACUGACAAAUGUGGAGCUUGCGCUGCCGCUGCCUCAGCGCUGGCGACCGCCCAGGCCAUUGCCAGGUUGGUUUGUUCGGGCUGUGGUGGUGGGUGGAGGAAUGACACAUCGUGUAGGAGUCGGCUGUAGCAGUCGAGGGCGGCCCCGAACACUGCGUCCUCGGGGUGUGCCGUGUAGAAGGCCGGUAUGUUGCCGGUAGCGUUGAGGGGGGAGGCAAAUGCUUCUGUUGUGAACUUAAGAUGGGAGGUAAGGGUGGACAUUAGGUCUGGACAGAGGGUGACCUCGUGCGCUGGGUUGGUGGAGCUCUCUUUGUGGCGUUUACUGGGGCGAUAUCGUGUGAGCAGGGAGGCUACGGCGGCGGCGAAUGCUUUCGGGGGUUGGGUGGGGUUGAGCGCCCUAUAGCGGGCGUGGAGGAGGGCGAGGCGAGUAGCCGAGAUGGAUCCAACGCAUCGGCCGUCGGGUCCGUAUACUCUGGCGGUAGGGUCAGGGUCGGUCGCCGUGCCGGCGGCUAGACCGGGUGUUCGUGUGCCCAACUGGAUACAAUACUGACCUGUCGGAUGAAUGUCUGUGUCUGGGUUGCAGGAGUUGGUGUCAAUGGUGCAGCACCGGAGAGUGGCACGUUUUCGUGCGGCCAUGCUGGGUGCUGGGUCCCGCCACCGGCCCUGGCGCUGCUUGCUGGUGAGGUGGGUAUCAAGCGCAGGGGGUGGGGUGGGGUCGGGGGGUGCUUCAGCUUGGGCAAGGGUGUACCGUGCCAGGGCGGCCGCCCAGCCGGGGUUCUGUGAGAGGGAGGAGAGCGGGUCUUCCGUGUCGGCCCAGUGCACCUGGGCCAUAAACCGGCGGAUGCCCUGUCCCCAUAGCAUACAUGAGGGUUUUGUGGCGUUGAUGGCGUCGUAGUUCUGUAUCUUAUAGGCGCUGAGUAUACCGUUCGUGGUGAGGGUUGGUUGCCAGCGAACUUUGUAGCGGCAGCGGUCAGCCCAGGGGGGUUCUUCUGGCGGCGGGUCCAGUUUCCGUUUUCUCUUGGGUGGUGGGGCAUUGGUUUUAUGUGUCAUGGGCCCACUGACAACCGCGGCAAUGAUGUCAUCGCGGUUAGCCAGGUGGGCUGUGAUGUGUUGUGCCGCUAGCUUCCCAGCGUCGGACUGGGGCAGUGCGCCAUUUAAUGCUGUGUCUCUGGCUUUGCGCCAUGCAGGUCUGGCGCUUGGCUGCGCGGUCGCGCGGUUCCCUCUCUGCGCGGCUGCCGGUGGGAGGCCCCUCGCCGGCGCUGCGUGGUGCGUGUGUGGACAGCGGGUGGGGCGAGCGCUGCUUUUGCGGCGGUUGGGCGGUUUCGUGUGCGUGGGUGAUGUGGCUGCGGUGGGGCACCCGUCUGGUAGCUCGAGCCGCUGGUGAGCAGGUGCAGCGACUGCUUGGUAGGGGCGGGAAGCAAGUAGUUCGUGGGUAGCGUGGGUGUGGGGGCCCGCCGCCUCGGCAUGGGCUGGGACCCGCCUUGGCGGGAUCCGCCAGGAGCCGGUCCAUCGUGUGGUGCCGAGGGUUUUGCAUUGUUUGACGAGCGGGGUAAACUCCCGUGCUGCGUGCAUAUAGAAAGUUAGGUCCCUCGUGGGGUCGGAAGGGUAAUGGAGGGUGGAUCCGGGCAGAGCAGCGUCAUUGGCCUCGACUGCGGGAUUGCGUGUCCGUGUGUCGUAUUUGAUGAAGUGAUUGUGGCGUUGCUUUGCCGUUGGCUUUGGUUUGGCCUGCAGGACUUCCAAAGACGGCCGCGCCGGGGCUCCGGAGGGCCUCGGAGGUGUCGACUGCUGCCAGCGCUCCAGUAGAGAGGUGAGAGUGCGUUGGGGUAUAGGUUUAGGCAGGUCGCCAGCUGUCCGAAGGUCUGUCUUGGAGACGCCAUUGGGUAGGGCUCGGUUGUGCAGGGGGAGGGGUUUAGUACCGGCGGUCGGCUUAGGUUGUGUGUCUGCAAGUUUGCAUAGGGCGUGAGUGAAGCGGUUCAGGGCGCGCUUGUGCCGGUCUUUUACCCGGCCUUUUGGAAAUCGCCGAUCCAGCUGUACAGUGUCAAUGAUGUGCCGUCCCGUAUUUGCGUCCACCAGGUCGGCCAGGUUCAAGCCAAGGUCUAUUGUCAGGGGGCUGAUCCAGUCAGCUCGCAGGUAAGCGGGCGUGCUCGCCUCAGCGGCUCGGAGUUUGGACACUAGUGUUGGUAGGGCGGCUGCAAAUUCCUUGCCUUGCAGCAUGGCCAGCAGGUCGUGGUCUUGAAGGAGGGUGAGUUGUUUCAGGGUAACAAAAAAUUUCCCCGCUCUUCGCAUGUCGUGCAGCGGGAGGUCGCUCCCCGCCUGCGCCGCUUGGAGGUGGAGGAGGCGGCGCGUAAUUACGCCUAGCCUGCCGUUAUCGUUCAGCGAAAUCAUGAGCAGUCUGGAGGCGCGUUGUACAUACUCUUCGCGGAGCGAGCCUAUUCCUAGGCCCCCCAUCUCGGCAGGCAGAAGGAUGGCGCGGGUGGCGCAGUCGCGUGGUAGGCCGACGCACCGACGGGUGAUACCCGCGAUUUGGGCGUCCAGUGCCCGGAUAUCGUGUUGCGUGUAUGCCAUGGCUGGGAGGGAGUAAGCCACUUUUGCUUUGAGGCAUUGUUUGAUGAGCAUGUAGCACUGGCGAGGGAGUUUUUUGUACUUGCUCAGCUCUUCGCCGGCGUCAGUUAGGUCGGUUUUAACCGCCUUAAGUUGAGGGCGCCAGUCCAUCGUCAUGGUGAUUUCCACGCCGAGAUAGCGGUAUGAUUUAUGUGGGGACACGUACGGCAAGGCUAUCUUGGUGAGUUUUCCAUCCUUGGCGUUAGAGCCAAUGUGGAUUUGGCCAUCCAGGAAGCGUUUGAGGGUGCGUUCGCAGGCGGGGCCUUUCAUGCUUUUGUCUGAACUGUUGGCACUUGCGAAGCUGUGGAGGAUGCCUGUGCAGGCGCUCUUGUCGCGGUUAAUGCGCAUACCUCCCCAGGCGGCGUAUCGCGCAAUCUUGUCAGUUUGGCACUGGAGGUUAUCACGGGAGUUGGCUGCUAGCGCCAGGUCAUCCGCGUAGCCUAGUGAUGAACAGUUGUGUUGGUCAUUCUCACUGUUUGUGAGGCAGCCGUAUCGGUAGCCGCGGCCGCCGUAGUGGAGCCACCUCAGGAGUGGCUCGAGAAAGAUGAUAAAUAACAGUGGUGAGAGGGUAUCUCCUUGCAUGGUGCCGCGCCUUAUCUGGACGGGGGAUGUGCGGCCGUGGGCUGUGCGGAUGGUGGUGUUUGCGGUAGAGUACAGAUUGCGCACGACUUCUAUGAAGUCGGUUGGGAGGCCGAGGUGGUGCAUUACAGUGAGCAAGCGGUCGUGGUCUAUGGUGCCGAAGGCGUUUGAGAAGUCGAUGUACGCGACGUAUAGGUCGCGCUUUGUGAGGGCUGCGUCCUCAAUCACGUGCAGUAGGUUCAUGAUUUGGCGCUCCGUUCCUUUGUACUUUUGAAAGCCUUCUUGGGCUUCGCUGUGGACGAGGAGCUCAGUGCAUGCUUCGGUGGCUGCCCGAGUGACUAAACUGGUGUAGAGCUUGUAGAGCGUGUUGCACAGUGCAAUGGGUCUGUAAUUGGAAAUGGACAGCGGGUCUGCAUUCUUGUACAAGAGAAUGGUGUCGCUGGUGGACCAGCCGUCUGGUAGUUCGGGUUUAAUCCAUGCGACACAUAGGAGAGUAUGGACGGCGGCUUGUAACGCAUCUGGCAUGCAUUUGAGUAGCUCGUUUGGGAGGCCGUCAGGGCCAGGACUCUUGUUGCGGGAGAGGGAUUGCAUGCACCGUUGGAAGUUGCUCGCGUCAGAGACGUUAGGCAGCAGGGAAUGGGUGUCCGGGUGUUGUGCGCGGGCCAGCAGGAAGCCGCCGUCGGGUGCUCCUGGUUCGUUCCAGGGGAAGGUGGUGGUGGUGUCUUCUGGUCGGUAGCGUCCAGUGCGUGGGCCACCAGUGGGUUCAGCGGCAGCUUGGAAAUGAGUGUGUAGCGCAUCGUUGAUGUCGGUGCUGGUGGUGGCGAUGUGUUGGGUAGUAGGGUGGCGUACAGCUGUCAGUUUUUGUCGCGGUCCUGAUUUGCCGAGCAUUAUUUUGGAGGCUUUGCCUUGAGAGGUUGCGAAUAGCUUUCUAAUCCGUGUUAACCAUUUGCUGGCGGCCUUGGCAUUGGCUUCUUUCUGAGUAGUGCGGCGUGUCUUGAGGGCAGUUUCCCAGUCCCGUUUGGCGGCGGCCGCGGGUGUGGGGUUCGUAGGGGCCACGGGUGGUACGGGUGCUGGCGCUAUGGGGGGCGGAGUGGGAGGCUCCUGUGGUUGCGCUGGGGAGGCGUGCACGAGAGCUAGGUAGAGUUGCUUUUUCUGUUUUUCGGUGGCUAGCAGCCGCUUUAGCUUCUUGGCCUCCGCCCGGGACGGUUUUGCUCUGGAGGUUCGGGGCGGUUUUUGGGGACACGUGUCGAGCAUGAUUUUGGCUCCGACGGCUAGUGCUCCAUAAAGGGCGGUGGAUGCGGCGUUGAGGUCAAGCGUGGAGAGUUGUGCGCGUGCGUCGGUGACAAUGUUGUGGGCGGUGCGUGUAUUUGCUACGUGAUGUGUGUUGGAUGAAAGUGCGGUUACUGUGGAGUCGAUGAUUUGUCGUGCGCUGCGACCGGGUAUGGUGAGCGCGGCAUACAGGGUUUCAAGGGCAGAGGUUCCGUCUGCUUCCCAUCGCUGUGUGAUGGUGCGACUCUGGGUUUGAGUGAUAGGCUUGACGAUGUUUGCUAGUGUAGGGCCGGUGCUUGUGUCUGCGCUCGGGAUAUCUGGUUCCGCGGGUGCAGUGGUGGUUCCCGUGGGUUUGUAGGGAAGGUUAGCCUUUAAGUGUAGGCCCAGGUGAUCGGUGGUGCCCCCGCAUGCUGAGGUCCAUUCCGUAGCCGCAGGGCAGCCCUGGGCGUGGUUGUUUGCUAGGAAGUCGUCGAUGCGGCUCUGAUGUGUAAUUGUGUCGUGCUGUAUCUGCGUGUACGUAUGUGGCCUAGGGCGUGUGCGCGCGGCGGGUGAUAAGCCCGUCUGCUUCAAGAAGUUUUGAUGUGUUGUGUCGUUGGUAGUACUGGUGUUGGUGCUUCUGUCCGUGUCGUAAGCAGCAGCGUUCCAGUCCCCGCCGGUUAGGAGGGGUUCUUUCAGACGGGCUGCACCUCGUGAGGCUCGAGUGAUGUAGGUGUACAAUGCUUCGCGGGUGCGCUUGUCAUCGGGUGGGCAGUAGACUCCGAUGAUGUGGAUAGGCGUCAAGAAGGAAGGGGCCAUGCGCAGGUGGACCAUGUAGCCCUGGAGUGUUGCCGGCGUGGGGAGGCAGGUGAUAUGUUCUUUGCGGGCGUAUCUGGUGUGAACCGCAAGCGUGACUCCGCCCGAGGGUUGGUGCCGCCAUUGGUCUUGUUUUGGCCCCUUUGUCGGUGUCGGUCGGGGUGUGCUGUGGACAAACGUGGAGUACGAUUUGAAGCUGUUUUUGAUGAUGUCGCGUUCUGUUCUGGUCCUGUGGGCUCGAGUUUUAGUUUCAGUGAGUACGAGAAUGUCCGCGUCCCAGGUUUCUGAUUCUUCCCUAAUGGGGGCCAGGUUGGAUAACAACCCCCGGGCGUUGAGCGUGACAAAAUGGCAUGUGCUUGUGUGGGCGGGUGUAGCUGGUGCCGGGCGCUGGGCCUGCGGUAGUGCCGCGGCUUCCAAACAUGCCUGGAGCGUGGCUUGUCUUUUCUUUCCAGGAGCGCGCUGUGGGGGGUUGUGAAUAACUGGUGGUGGUUGUUGCGCGGGUGUGGAGGCAUGGUUCGGUGGUGUGCCAGGGGUGGGUUGCGAGGGAGGUGCCUUGGUAGGGGUCCGUUGUGCAGGGAGGUUUGUGGUGGGCCGUGUCGGUUUGUGCGGUGAAGGUGGGGACAGGGAAAGGGCGCGUUUUGCUGCUUUACGGCGGUUGAUGGGAGAUCCCAUGGCUCGCAGGAGAGCGUGAGUGAGUGUGUUUGUACGUGCCUUCUUGGGUGGUGGGCUGCGGACGGGGGUAUUGGCGUGCUUGUCAAUGAUAUCUUGCGUGCAUGGACCGCCAUCCCAGAUGGGGCCCCAGCGGAGGAGGGAGGGGUCCUGGGUACGGGGGCCGUGUGUCCAAGUUGAGUGUGUUACCGCUAUGUAGUGGUUGCAUUCGGCGGUUGGGAAAGUAGGGGGGAAGCCCGCAAGGGCCCACGAGUGGGGUACGUGUGCUAGGUAUACGUUGUGUUGGGGGCGGUCAUAUGCCUUGGGUUUCGGGAGCGGGAGCCAGUCUGUGUAUCCUGGGCCAAUAAUGUGGAUUUGUACUCCGGGGAGGAGGGACUGGAAUGCGAUAAGGUCUGGAAUGGUGAGCAUGGCUGUGUCUUCCACAUUGCGGCAGUGCGUCUGCACGGUUCGUUCAGGGGUUUCGGUUUCCUCGUAGAGACCCAGGAUAUGCAGUCGCAGCUCGUCGCUGCCCGGGCUGCUUGGUGCGGUUAACUGUCUGAGUUUGGAUGCAAUACAUGUGCGUAUGGCCCCUGUCAUUGAUGCCCAGCUCGCAGGUUCAGUGGGCAUGAGUGGGACUUGGCUGCCGGGUAGGGCCGCUAGGGUAGCAAAGAGGGCGCAGUUAUUGCCCCAUGCGCACGUGUCGAGCAAGCGGUGUCCUUGAGAGGUGAGGCGGUGGGCUAGUUGGGUUAGGGAGCGGUAUUCGGGGGGUUCGGGAAGUGGGGUGUUUCUGUCUGCUGAGCGCAUGCGGUCGGGCGCCCAGUUAGCGGGCGGGCCGGUCGCGUUCAGGCACAGCGGAUGUAGGGGGGGUGUAUCGGGUGUGCGAGCUGAUAGCGUAAAAACCGUGCCCGUGGUUUCAAGUGCGGUGGUGCGGCGUAUGGCCCGCGGUUGGGUGUCAGCGGAGUCCAGGACCAGCCAGCUGGUGCCGUGCCGUUUGAUGGCUAUCACAUGGCCAUAGAUGCCACUGGAGUAGCCGGGUGUGAAGAUUAGGAAGCCGUGUUCGGUCUGUUCUCC
rnacentral:lncRNA from 1 species